GGAGAGAAGACAGGUGAGAGUUGAGGAGAGAGGACAGGUGAGAGGUAAGGACAGGUGAGAGGUGAGGAGAGAGGACAGGUGAGAGGUGAGGAGAGAGGACAGGUGAGAGGUGAGGAGAGAGGACAGGUGAGAGGUGAGGAGAGAGGACAGGUGAGAGGUGAGGAGAGAGGACAGGUGCGAGGUGAGGAGAGAGGACAGGUGCAACGUGAGGAGAGAGGACAUGUGAGAGGUGAGGAGAGAGGACAGGUGAGAGGUGAGGAGAGAGGACAUGUGAGAGGUGAGGAGAGAGGACAGGUGAGAGGUGAGGAGAGAGGACAGGUGGGAGGUGAGGAGAGAGGACAGGUGCGAC
ensembl:lncRNA